UGAGUGCACCAAUAGGCCAGGGAAACACUUUUCAUUGAAAAUAGCUGUAAUAUCAGUGAUCCACCACACAAUUAAGACAGAGAUGGAAGCCCACCUACAAGUCGUGAGAAAGGACCAAACGUUGUUGUUGGUUGCUGAGGCUCUGGACGCCAUCUUUGAUGUGAACCAUCUGGACCUGUUGUCAUGGAGAUCAGGAUAUAUCAACUAAAGAGAAACCUAGGAGACUACCUUCUUAUCAGCAUGACAGCAAGGAAAAAUCUGAUGUACUUCAUCAAAUGCAAAUCUUGACCAGUAGAACUAAUAAGGACAUGUUUUUAUUCUCAAAGUUACUUACAACUCAACAGUAAUUUGGAUCACAGAAAUAAUUAGUGAACCACUUCAAGUUCCAUAGUUUUCUGGUGUUCAGUUUGAUAUCAGGCAACACUGAUAUUUAGUAUUAAUAUUUUUUAUUAUUUUUUCCACAACUUUUAUGAUAGUCCCAUUAGAAGAUUUGUGUGUUAUCACAAGGUACUGAUGUAAAACUUGUCUUUUUGUUCUUAGCCUUUUCUGUCAAAAUUAAAUAUCAAAAUGUGUGGGACUGUAUUGUCUGUUUAAACUUUGACCCACUAACUGAGACAAUCAAGUGAUUAAAUUUCUUUUCUGAUUGCUCAUAAGCAAUAUGAUUUUUUUUUUGAAGAAGAAGAAAUUAUGGUUUUUGUGAGGCUUAAGUAGUUGAAUUAUUGUCUACUCCACAUUGAAUUGGUUUGAUUUUAUUAAACUUUGUAUAACACUCUAGUAUUCUAUAAAUUAUACUGUUUUAAAUGGAUGGCAAUGUUCAUAAAAUAAAUUUCCUUUGUUUAAUGUGAAGCUGAAGAUAUUACAUUGUUGUUGGAAAUAUUGAUUAUUGGUUUAAUUUAACUAGAAUGUGUGCAUUGCAUGGUAGUAUAAUAUUCCCUUAUAGUUUU